UUAUCUAUAAAAACCCUCUUGAAGUUUAAUGAAGUUAAACGUCUGGACAGCUUCCAGAGCAGAACAAUUGAGCGCAAAUGUACUUUCAUGGCAGAUAAUUUGCUUUCAGGUUAGGGAAACCUGCAGCACCGAACUCGGCGUGAAAUCUGAUCACUUUUCUGCACUUGGCUUGCAGGGUUUGGCGCACAGAUAACUCACCCUGCGAAGAGCAGCACUUGCGACAGCAGAGGGAGGCCUUCCUUAUGCAAAAGGUUUUGGUGGAGGGAGCAUGGCAAGCUGCGUGAGAUUUUACAAAAUAAGAGACCAGUGCUAUUUCAGACCAUCUGUGCUGCCAAUCAAUUUCUUGGUUGAAGACAAAGCCUCAAGCUGACUGGGUCAACAAGGUCUGUCCAUCAAAGGAAAUGUAUUCUUCAGUCAAGAAAAUUCAGUAAAGUAACAGCCAUCUUUUAUGGAGACUGGAGAGAAUUGUUGGCUUUUAUUAUAUUCUGAAAACAGAAAGAAAUCCAAUACAAGGAAAACAGUGAUAAAAUUAACUUGGCUGGAUCUUCAGAGAUGUGAUCUGAAGCAACACUGCUACAUAUGCACUCUUUGGCUUCUUUGGACUCAAACCAGCCCCAAACGCACUAACAUUAGGAAGUCUGGGAGAAAUUUGCACCUGAGACUUGUUUCCAACUGUACUAGAGGAUGCUACCUGAACUGUUAUGGAGGAAAGCAGAGAGUUGCAAGGCUGCUAAUUUUAAAGGGCUCUUGAACAGCCAGGUUUACCGUUUCAACUCCCGCAAUCUGGAGCUCGGCAAUGGCAGCAUACAGCUCUUUCUUGGAAAGUUGUCCUCCGGAAUAGAUGUCACACAGGAAAUCCUCGUGAGGGUUUGCAGAAUGUUUUUCCAGUCGACUGUCAAUGGACUGCUUGGCUGAGGAGGGAAGAACAGGAGGUAAUUAAUGGAAAGUUGCUAAAAAUGCUAUCAAAAUAAAAGUGAAAAUAUGGCUCACAUGCAGGAUUGUGAAAGAGGAUAGCAAGCUGUGCUUUGGUUUCAAGAGAUGAGCAUUGUACCAAAUAAAUAAUGUUAUUUUCACAUUUUAGGCAAACACUAAACAGUUACAAAAAUUGUUUAUAAACAGAAAGAACAUCUGAAAACUACUAGGAAUUCCAUAUUGUAGUAUUAGGAAAAGAAAUCAGUGAUGUGUUGAGUGACAGAUUUAGCAAACAGAAAUCCAAGUGUGUAAAACCUACUGGCUUGGAUUUUCCAAGGGGAUCAAGAUAUUAAAAACCAAAGAGAUUUUUAGUGCUCAGGCUCCCUGAGGAAAGUUUAAGCCUUUGAUUUACUAUGGCAAGGUAAAAAUAGAUGCCAUUUCUAUGUGCAUUUUUCAAAAUAUAGUUGACUACAUUUUGCCCACCCUUUCUUGUGAAUAUCCUGAUUGUUAAGACCAGCUCUUAGUAAGGAACUAUUCAUGUCAAGUGAAGGUGCCAAGCUCUUUUUUGUUUUUUUUGGAAUAAAACUUGUUUAAAAUGUCUUUCUUAAAAGCCAUAAACUAAAAAGCAAUAGAAUAAGCGCACACAUGACUGGCAUGAGAAACUCCCCUGAAGUAUCAGGUACUCAAAUACUUAAGAGAAAUAUGCCACUCAGCAUUACAAUAAUCCAAGGACCAAAACCUUGUUUAAUCUUUAGCUAGAAUUAUCACAGACUAGGAAAAAACUGAAAAAUAUAAACUUAACUUCAUAUCUGGCAUUAGAGUAAUUUUUGCAAUCUUGAAGGCCAGUCUAUCUUAAUAGACAGAAAGUUCUGUCAGAAAACCAAGUUGUACCUUAUGAUUAAUUGCUUCUGUUUUAAGACUUACAACUAUGUUCCAGGUUACUCAGAAAGCAUGAUUUCUUUUUUAGUAAACAAACCUUUGUUGUGUGUGAAA